UCGGGCUCAUGAGAAGCCGCCAUUGUUCCUAGUAUAUCCUGUGUCGUAUAAUUUUUUCCGAUAGUUUAAAACUGUGUUUAAAUUCGUGAAUUAGUAUUAACCAGUAUAACACUUUUGCAACAACAUAUUUAAAAUAUAUAUUAUUUCUGGUGUUAAAAUAAUAGGCUUCAAAAUAUAAGCAAGUUCGUACAUAGCCUGGAAUGUCCACUAGUGUCGAUCAGCGCAUGAAAGGCCAAGGAAGUUCAGUACCAAAUGGACCAAAGGAUGAAGAAUUUGAUACCUGGAGAAAUCAACCUCAACAGGCAUAUAAUGCAGCUAUGUCAUCAUCUAGCAUGGGAGAUCCCUACAUGCCUGGUUACUACCCUUCUAUGUCUUUUCCCUAUUUGAAUCAAGGACUUGGUGAUGGUGCAUGGAGCAAUGGUGGUGAUCCUAUGACUUUCCUUGGUGGAUAUGGUGGACAGAUGGGAGGUACUGACCAACAUUCCCACUAUAUGGAUGGUAUGUUUGGUCAGAAUAGCUUUACUGGUUACAGUCAGGGUUUUAACUUCUUUCAUGGAGGGAGUGGUGACUACUCAGCUUGGGGCAACUCAGGCAUGGGAGGAUGUAAACCAGGGCCAGCUGGACAUGGCUAUCAUGAAGACUACUAUAGAGAUGCAUAUGAACAGGUUGUUGAACGUGGGGCCUUAAAACAUGUGGAACAGGGGAUGGGGGGAUUGUCUCUUAGUGAACACAAAAAUGAAAUACAGUUUUCAAAAGAUGGUUAUCUUAAACCAGGAAUUGCCUCUGGACAAGGGCAUUUGAUGACUGACCAUCAACUGGCAAAGAAAUUUAUAGCAUCCUCAGUAGACCCUCUCUCAAUGGGUAGACCUAUCCCCGGUGUUCUAGGGCAACCAGUGGGCUCCAAAAAGAUGUCCUGGGCAUCAGUUGCCAGUCAGCCUGCUAAGCCACAACUAAAGAGUAAACCCAAAUCCAUUCCUCCACCAACCAUGUUGCAUGGAAAACACAAUACUACUAGCAUGGACAUUGGAACAUGGGAAAGUAAAAAUGGAAAUGGACCUGUCAAUGGGGGGAAAACAAUGCCCCCAUCUUCACAGACAAGCUCAGCUACAUGGGGUUCUUCCCGUGGGAGUCGGAAUAAUGGCACUUCAGGACAUGGAUAUGUGCCACCUCAACCACCACAGUUCCAGCACAUUGCAUUAGCUCAGAAUCAACCUUCAGUGGGUAGUGAUGAGUUUCCUUCUCAUCCUGUAUUGGAUAAACUUCGUAUGGAAAACAAUUAUAAUCCUAAAGAGUUUGAUAUGAACCCUAAAAAUGUGAGAUUUUUUAUCAUCAAGUCAUACUCUGAAGAUGACAUACAUCGAUCUAUCAAGUACUCAAUUUGGUGCUCUACGGAACAUGGUAACAAACGACUGGAUGCAGCAUUUCAUGAGCGUGAAGGAAAGGGCCCAAUCUUUUUAUUCUUCAGCGUAAAUGGUUCAGGACACUUCUGUGGAAUGGCACAGAUGGUCUCAAAAGUAGACUAUGGUGCCUCUUCAAGUGUCUGGGCUCAAGACAAGUGGAAGGGACAGUUUAGAGUCAAAUGGAUCUAUGUGAAGGAUGUGCCUAAUUCACAGCUCCGUCACAUCAGACUGGAGAACAAUGAAAAUAAGCCCGUAACAAACUCUCGUGACACUCAAGAGGUUCCAGUUGAGAAAGGUAAACAGGUACUGAAGAUCAUUCACAGUUUCAAACACUCUACCUCUAUCUUUGAUGACUUUCUUCAUUACGAAAAACGCCAAGAAGAAGAUGAACAGCGAAGAACUCAGCUUUAGGUAACUGACAUGUCCUCACAGUGCCCUAUGUGCAUCCUCGGGUACAAAAAAAUUAAAAGAGACAGCCCCGAGGAACUAGAGGACAACCAGAACACUAGUGUUAUCAUCCUGUAGUGGCUGUGGACUUCAGUCGGUGUUCUUAUCCAAUAUAUUGUGCUUGUUUGUUGCAACGUAAAAUUCUACAUUCAAAAGCAUCACUUGUGAUUUUUCAACUUGCAACUGGAUAUUAUAGAGUGUAUUAACUACCAGUAAGAUUUCUGCCUUUGGUGUACAACUGCUGUAGUCUACUUUUUUGAUGUCUUGCUAACCCUGAAUCUUAUUAGCUCACUUGGUAUCAAUCUCUGUAUAUGUACAUCAUAUCGGUUGAUGGUUGUGGGAUUACAACUAACUUGUGGCAUCACUAAUCUUGUUCGUAGGAUGGUUCAUAAGGUUUAGUUCACUUACCAUAAAGGUGUUCACUUAUUGAAAUGUCUUUCAGUAUGUUCUAGCUACAACUUCUAAGAAGUAAAUGAUUGUGUUGACAGCAACAUCAGCAGCAAAGGUUUGAGCUUACAAUCACAGACUUCCAAGAAUUUCUAAGUGUGUUUAUUGAGAAACAAGUUUUCCAAAUCUGGUUCCAACCCAUAUCUCCCUUGAACUUCCAGGGUUUUCUUAUCUGAAGAAACUGGACGAAAGGAAAGUUUGCAAACAGUGGCGUUUGGACUUCUCUCUGAACCCAAAGAACUCCCAGGACUAUUCAGACACAACUUUGUGAUUUGACAGUUUAGUGACAGUGGACACCUAGUUCACUGUUCAAAUGGACUAAAAUUAAGCAUAAUUUAAAGCUAUUUCUGGACUGAUGUUUGUGCCAACAAAGCACAAAAAAAAUGAUGUAGGCAUGUUUAAUGUAUUACAAGAGGCUGCUGUGUAGCUGUCUGCUCAAGGAAGGUAAAGUAUAUUGGUUACAGUUUGGAUUAAGAAGACUGUUACGUCCAUCCGAUUAUGAUACUUUUUCAUAUUCUGGGUCACAUCAGUUUGUUUCAUUUAUUGCUAGUUAUAAUGGAGAAGAAAUUGUGAUUGUUUUGUAUAUCAGAAAUUUGUAAGUUGUUUGACUGGCAUUCAAGUUGAAAGCAUUCAAAGUAACAAAAUAAUUUCAAUCAUAUUUUCAAAAUGGUAGAUUCUUAUUACUGUGCUUAACUAUCAUUAUUCUGAAAUAGUUUAUAAUGGAAAUUGCACUGGUUUAACGAAGUCUGCUCUACAUUGAUCUAAACUAUGAAGAAUGGGAUAUUUUCUAACAAAUUUGAACAUUUUCUCCGACUUAAUGAACAUGAAUUGUGAAUAAAUGAGGUAAUUGAUUAAUUUCUUUACAAAGUAUCAAUACUAUUUUGUUAUAUAUAUAUUAUAGGUACGUUUGAUUUACAUGCAGCUUUGGAUGAGAAAAUUGUUUCCGUUUGUAUUAGGUGUUGCAGAUGGUAAAUGUUUGAUACAUGGUUAGUCUGCAUAAUGGUGUCAAGGCUACUGUGUAGCUUGUAUUUUAGCAGCUUGUUUUGGUUGACCUCUAAGUAAGCAUGUUAACAAUCUUAGAAUGAGUAUUGGCUCAUGACUUGUAACCACAGAUUAUUGAACAAUAAACAGUGACUAAUCUUUUACAUUAUUAUUAUUUUUGAACAAGCUGUUUCUUAUAAGAGUUUAUGAGUUUUUUGAAUGAGAGAGUUAAGUUUAUCAGUCAAGUCCAUCGUUGCUUGGUUACUGAAGCAAAUUGACUUUAACUGUCAUAAAAUCAUGUACUUUAUGUUUGAGAUCUCUGUUUUACGUGGAACAUGUGUGAUAAAAUCAUAACUAUAAGGAUGAUGGAUUGAAUAAGAUUUUAAAUUGAUUAAAUAAAAUUUUAAAAAAUUGAUCAAUGUUUACACAGUUACUCUAUUAAGCUAUUAAAAGUGAUCGUUCAAGUGACAUAUUUAGUUGUUUGCUUUUUUUUAGUUGCCAUAUACUAAUUAAAUAAUUUUGGCAUCAGUAUAUACUUUAUUGACAAAGUUAACUUUAUACGUGUUUAACAGUUUAAAUUAUUUAACAAAUCAACUCAAAUAUUAUUAAGUUACCAAGACAUUGAAGAUAUUAAAAUCGGGGAGAAUGGAACAUUGACCACACACUAAGGAUAUGGACUAACAAAUCUGAUCUUUUUAUGUAAUACUUUGACCACAAUCUGUAACUUUUUAUGAAUAUGGGUAUACUUCACGAAAAUAUUAAUUUCUGUUUAUGCCUGCUUAAGGGCAUGUGCAAUAAGUUUCAAUCAUUAAACAUGAUUUAGCUAAAAAAAAAGUUUAAUAAUUAAUCUGAAGUAACUAAGAAUGGAUGUUUUCAAAAAUGUUAUCCUACAAUAUUGCUUUUUAUUGGUAUUGGAUACUUUUAAUUUUGUGAAAGAGCUUGGAUUACAGCUUCCUAAUAUUUUAUGUGGAUUCUAUAAUAUUUUAACUAAGUAAGUGAAUUUGCUGUUGAUUUACUUAUGUUAACUAAUGUAAUUGAUGUUUAUGUGUUAGAAAGUGUGUUUCUUUAAUAACAGAGUUCUGAAAACUGUUGUGGCCCAGAUAAAGAAGAAACAAAUCAGUGAGAGGAAUGUACAACUGAUUAGUUUUUCUCAGUCUCUGUGAGGUUCUAGUACGUUUUAGCUGGUUAAAUGGACAUUUGGAAAAGUACACCAAGAUGUACAAUGUAACUUUCAAACUCAACUCGGUUCCCAUUUCAGUAUUCUUCAGAGCUUAGAAUUUCACUUUAAUUCAAAGAGAAUAGGGACAAACAAGUGACACAAAAUGUCCAUAAGAAUCAUAAUAACUGAGUAAUUAAAAUUUGUAAAAUCAGAUUCAAUAUUCCUCAGAGCUUAGAAUUCCAUUUCAAUUCAAAGAGAAUAGGGACAAACAAGUGACACAAACUUUGCAAAAAGAAUCAUAAUAACUAAGUAAUUAAAAUCAGAUUCAAUAUUCCUUAGAGCUAUUGAUUAGAAUUUCAUGUUAAUUCAUAGAGAAUAGGGACAAACAAGUGACCCAAAAUUUGCAAAAAGGAUUAUAAUAACUAAGUAAUUAAAGUUUGGGGGUUUAAGCAGUGUACAUUCCUUCUCCACUGUUCUUUAUUAUAUAGUAAGAGGUUAUAAAUGUUUUUGACAAGUGUUCCUUCAUGAUAAGUAUUGUGAGAGAUUAACAUGGCCAAUAAAUGGUGAGCAAAAAAUUA